rnacentral:rRNA from 1 species
AUUGAACGCUGGCGGCAGGCCUAACACAUGCAAGUCGAACGGUAGCACAGAGAGCUUGCUCUCGGGUGACGAGUGGCGGACGGGUGAGUAAUGUCUGGGAAACUGCCCGAUGGAGGGGGAUAACUACUGGAAACGGUAGCUAAUACCGCAUAAUGUCGCAAGACCAGAGAGGGGGAGCUUACGGCCUCUUGCUUUCUGAUGUGCCCAGGUGGGAUUAGCUAGUUGGUGAGGUAAUGGCUCACCAAGGCGACGAGCCCUAGCUGGUCUGAGAGGAUGGCAAGCCACACUGGAACGGAGACACGGUCCAGACUCCUACGGGAGGCAGCAGUGGGGAAUAUUGCACAAGGGGCGCAAGCCUGAUGCAGCCAUGCCGCGUGUAUGAAGAAGGCCUUCGGGUUGUAAAGUUCUUUCAGCGGGGAGGAAGGCGAUACGGUUAAUAACCGUAUUGAUUGACGGUACCCGAAGAAGAAGCACCGGCUAACUCCGUG